rnacentral:rRNA from 1 species
UACGAACCGUACAAACGUUAUUCGGAAUCACUGGGCUUAAAGGGUGCGUAGGCGGCCAUGUAAGUGAGGUGUGAAAUCCCUCGGCUCAACCGAGGAACUGCGCUUCAUACUGCAUGGCUUGAGGGAGACAGGGGUAAGCGGAACUGAUGGUGGAGCGGUGAAAUGCGGUGAUAUCAUCAGGAACACCGGUGGCGAAAGCGGCUUACUGGGUCUCUUCUGACGCUGAGGUACGAAAGCUAGGGGAGCGAACGGG